rnacentral:lncRNA from 1 species
UGCAGUCGAUCACGAUGGGACUCGAACCCACAAUCCCCGCCUGAAUCCCUGGCGUAAAACCGGAGGGCGAUGCCUUAUCCAUUAGGCCACGCGACCACUGCGAUGACACGCAGCACACACAUCGGGUCUCAUACGCCCCGUUGCUAGACGACAUGGGAGCUGCGAGUCUGCGCGGCCCCAUCCCACAAUCACAUCACCUUCACGGGCGUGUUUUGCUGGGCACACGGGGGCAUUUAGGCGUGGCCGACCGGUUGUCGGGGCAAGGAUAUUAUUCUCAAUAUGUGCGGGUGCACAUUCUGUUCGUUGCAUUCUGUUCCCCACUGCACCGAACAUCGUCCCCCUAUAUGUGUGUGCAUAUGCAUGUGUCGGGCAGGGAGAGGUCAUCACCGCUCGCUGCAUGUGCUAGUACUGGGGCUGCAUGCAUGCCUGUUUUCGUAGGUGCUGGCCAGAAGGCUCAAGAGUACCAAGUACAGGCGGUCUUGGGCGUGUAGUGGAUGUCCUUUGGCGUGUUGAGCGCCUCUACCCCAAAGUGGGGGAAAGGAAGCGCUGCAAAUUUGUUGAUUUGCAUACCGCCGUUGUAGGCUUUUGCUCGAUGCUGCUGAUGAGAGGAGAGGAGAGGCCCCGACUUGCUGCAAUCCGCACCAUCCGCAUGACUCUCAUUUGACUCACCAUCGUCAGAUGGUCAUGGUUGUCGUGGUGGUGGUGAUGGUUGUCGUGCUGGUGGUGGUGGUGGUGGUGGUGGUGGUGAUGAUGAUGAUUCUCCUUAUUAUUUAUAUUAUUAUGUCGCACAGCUGAUUAUGAGGCGAUGGUUAUGGCUGGGGCCUCAUGUCUGUUCUACCUACCUGGCUGUUGCUGAUUCGGUACUGGUCACCUGCCAUCAUUCCUUGCAUACAUACAUACGUAAACGCACAUGCAAGCACAUGCACCACCGGCGGUAUAUCCACACACCAACACACACACACACACACUCUCUCUCUCUCUCUCUCUCUCAAAAACUAAUCCAUACACACACACACACAUACAUACACACACUCUCUCAAAAACGUCCCCCCAACAAUUGUAUCUCUGUGUUUGUGAGCUUGGGAAAGAUUCACCCGCCCCCUAACAUUCACCAGCUCCCACACCGUGUACAUGUGCUGAUGUACUACUCUGUACUGCUGUAUUGCCGGACCUUGGACCACUCUUCAGAUGCGAAUGUACAUGCCAUGCAAAGCUGCUGCAUUUGUGCGCUGCGUGUUGUGUUCCUCACACGCGGCUGUUGAAUUCCAGUUCUUUCGACCGUAAGAGGCAGGAUGCACCCCCAUGCCGGCGUUGGACAGCGAUGGACCUGGUUAUAGCGACCUGCGGAACCGAUUGGGAGUGGAGUUGACGCUGCUGCCGCAGAUUCCCGCAAAUUCCGCUGGAAUUUGGUGGUGCGUGCUCAACACCAAAAAGCCGCUGACGUUGCAUGAGCCGGCAUGCAUGCGAUGGAUGAGUUCUCCCCCAAACAUGUGGAAAGGUAGGACUGCCCGGCUAUUGUCCGUGGGCAAAGCUGUACCCCCCUACACCACACAUUUAUGUUCUGCAUCUGUGCAUGUGAGUUGGGCAUGUGUAUCUAUCUCUGAUAGGAAAGCCACCUCAUGAACCUGCUUGCGUGANNNNNNNNNNNNNNNNNNNNNNNNNNNNNNNNNNNNNNNNNNNNNNNNNNUGCAUGCAUGCCUGUUUUAGUAGGUGCUGGCCAGAAGGCUCAAGAGUACCAAGUACAGGCGGUCUUGGGCGUGUAGUGGAUGUCCUUUGGCGUGUUGAGCGCCUCUACCCCAAAGUGGGGGAAAGGAAGCGCUGCAAAUUUGUUGAUUUGCAUACCGCCGUUGUAGGCUUUUGCUCGAUGCUGCUGAUGAGAGGAGAGGAGAGGCCCCGACUUGCUGCAAUCCGCACCAUCCGCAUGACUCUCAUUUGACUCACCAUCGUCAGAUGGUCAUGGUAGUCGUGGUGGUGGUGAUGGUUGUCGUGCUGGUGGUGGUGGUGGUGGUGGUGGUGGUGAUGAUGAUGAUUCUCCUUAUUAUUUAUAUUAUUAUGGCGCACAGCUGAUGAGGAGGCGAUGGUUAUGGAUGGGGCCUCACUCCGAUAUACAUACAUGGCUGUUGCUGGUUCGGUACUGGUCACCUGCCAUCAUUCCUUGCAUACAUACAUACGUAAACGCACAUGCAAGCACAUGCACCACCGGCGGUAUAUCCACACACCAACACACACACAGACACACACUCUCUCUCUCUCUCUCAAAAACUAAUCCAUACACACACACACAUACAUACACACACAUACAUACACACACUCUCUCAAAAACGUCCCCCCAACAAUUGUAUCUCUGUGUUUGUGAGCUUGGGAUUGAUUCACCCGCCCCCUAACAUUCACGAGCUCCCACACCGUGUACAUGUGCUGAUGUACUACUCUGUACUGCUGUAUUGCCGGACCUUGGACCACUCUUCAGAUGCGAAUGUACAUGCCAUGCAAAGCUGCUGCAUUUGUGCGCUGCGUGUUGUGUUCCUCACACGCGGCUGUUGAAUUCCAGUUCUUUCGACCGUAAGAGGCAGGAUGCACCCCCAUGCCGGCGUUGGACAGCGAUGGACCUGGUUAUAGCGACCUGCGGAACCGAUUGGGAGUGGAGUUGACGCUGCUGCCGUUGAUCCCGCAGAUUCCGCAGAUUCCCGCAGAGCCGGCAUGCAUGCGAUGGAUGAGUUCUCCCCCAAACAUGUGGAAAGGUAGGACUGCCCGGCUAUUGUCCGUGGGCAAAGCUGUACCCCCCCUACACCACACAUUUAUGUUCUGCAUCUGUGCAUGUGAGUUGGGCAUGUGUAUCUAUCUCUGAUAGGAAAGCCACCUCAUGAACCUGCUUGCGUGAGCAAACCCCGGACGACCGUUACACAUUUGCUUACAGCUCCCUUUCCUAUCCUCUCCUUUCCCAUCCAAAGCCCAUCGUCAUAUCUUCCUCGCCUUCUCUCCUCCCUGUCUGCGCUUGUUGGCGUGUGCCCACGAUUUCAUCAAAAGUGUUCCUGCAGUCGAUCACGAUGGGACUCGAACCCACAAUCCCCGCCUGAAUCCCUGGCGUAAAACCGGAGGGCGAUGCACUUAUCCAUUAGGCCACGCGACCACUGCGAUGACACGCAGCACACACAUCGGGUCUCAUACGCCCCGUUGCUAGACGACAUGGGAGCUGCGAANNNNNNNNNNNNNNNNNNNNNNNNNNNNNNNNNNNNNNNNNNNNNNNNNNNNNNNNNNNNNNNNNNNNNNNNNNNNNNNNNNNNNNNNNNNNNNNNNNNNNNNNNNNNNNNNNNNNNNNNNNNNNNNNNNNNNNNNNNNNNNNNNNNNNNNNNNNNNNNNNNNNNNNNNNNNNNNNNNNNNNNNNNNNNNNNNNNNNNNNNNNNNNNNNNNNNNNNNNNNNNNNNNNNNNNNNNNNNNNNNNNNNNNNNNNNNNNNNNNNNNGUGGCGUGUAGUGGAUGUCCUUUGGCGUGUUGAGCGCCUCUACCCCAAAGUGGGGGAAAGGAAGCGCUGCAAAUUUGUUGAUUUGCAUACCGCCGUUGUAGGCUUUUGCUCGAUGCUGCUGAUGAGAGGAGAGGAGAGGCCCCGACUUGCUGCAAUCCGCACCAUCCGCAUGACUCUCAUUUGACUCACCAUCGUCAGAUGGUCAUGGUUGUCGUGGUGGUGGUGAUGGUUGUCGUGCUGGUGGUGGUGGUGCUGGUGGUGGUGGUGGUGAUGAUGAUGAUGAUUCUCCUUAUUAUUUAUAUUAUUAUGGCGCACAGCUGAUGAGGAGGCGAUGGUUAUGGAUGGGGCCUCACUCCGAUAUACAUACAUGGCUGUUGCUGGUUCGGUGCUGGUCACCUGCCAUCAUUCCUUGCAUACAUACAUACGUAAACGCACAUGCAAGCACAUGCACCACCGGCGGUAUAUCCACACACCAACACACACACACUCUCUCUCUCUCUCUCUCUCUCUCUCUCUCUCUCUCAAAAACUAAUCCAUACACACACACACACACAUACAUACACACACUCUCUCAAAAACGUCCCCCCAACAAUUGUAUCUCUGUGUUUGUGAGCUUGGGAAAGAUUCACCCGCCCCCUAACAUUCACCAGCUCCCACACCGUGUACAUGUGCUGAUGUACUACUCUGUACUGCUGUAUUGCCGGACCUUGGACCACUCUUCAGAUGCGAAUGUACAUGCCAUGCAAAGCUGCUGCAUUUGUGCGCUGCGUGUUGUGUUCCUCACACGCGGCUGUUGAAUUCCAGUUCUUUCGACCGUAAGAGGCAGGAUGCACCCCCAUGCCGGCGUUGGACAGCGAUGGAUCUGGUUAUAGCGACCUGCGGAACCGAUUGGGAGUGGAGUUGACGCUGCUGCCGUUGAUUCCGCAGAUUCCGCUGGAAUUUGGUGGUGCGUGCUCAACACCAAAAAGCCGCUGACGUUGCAUGAGCCGGCAUGCAUGCGAUGGAUGAGUUCUCCCCCAAACAUGUGGAAAGGUAGGACUGCCCGGCUAUUGUCCGUGGGCAAAGCUGUACCCCCCUACACCACACAUUUAUGUUCUGCAUCUGUGCAUGUGAGUUGGGCAUGUGUAUCUAUCUCUGAUAGGAAAGCCACCUCAUGAACCUGCUUGCGUGAGCAAACCCCGGACGACCGUUACACAUUUGCUUACAGCUCCCUUUCCUAUCCUCUCCUUUCCCAUCCAAAGCCCAUCGUCAUAUCUUCCUCGCCUUCUCUCCUCCCUGUCUGCGCUUGUUGGCGUGUGCCCACGAUUUCAUCAAAAGUGUUCCUGCAGUCGAUCACGAUGGGACUCGAACCCACAAUCCCCGCCUGAAUCCCUGGCGUAAAACCGGAGGGCGAUGCCUUAUCCAUUAGGCCACGCGACCACUGCGAUGACACGCAGCACACACAUCGGGUCUCAUACGCCCCGUUGCUAGACGACAUGGGAGCUGCGAGUCUGCGCGGCCCCAUCCCACAAUCACAUCACCUUCACGGGCGUGUUUUGCUGGGCACACGGGGGCAUUUAGGCGUGGCCGACCGGUUGUCGGGGCAAGGAUAUUAUUCUCAAUAUGUGCGGGUGCACAUUCUGUUCGUUGCAUUCUGUUCCCCACUGCACCGAACAUCGUCCCCCUAUAUGAGUGUGCAUAUGCAUGUGUCGGGCAGGGAGAGGUCAUCAUCAAAUCGCUGCGUGUGCUAGUACUGGGGCUGCAUGCAUGCCUUUUUUCGUAGGUGCGGGCCAGAAUGCUUCAGAGUAACCAAGUACAGCGUUCUUGGGCGUGUAGUGGAAGUCCUUUGGCGUGUUGAGCGCCUCUACCCCAAAGUGGGGGAAAGGAAGCGCCGCAAAUUUGUUGAUUUGCAUGCCGCCGUUGUAGGCUUUUGCUCGAUGCUGCUGAUGAGAGGAGAGGAGAGGCCCCGACUAGCUGCAUCCGCACCAUCCGCAUGACUCUCAUUUGACUCACCAUCGUCAGAUGGUCAUGGUUGUCGUGGUGGUGGUGAUGGUUGUCGUGCUGGUGGUGGUGGUGGUGGUGGUGGUGGUGGUGAUGAUGAUGAUUCUCCUUAUUAUUUAUAUUAUUAUGGCGCACAGCUGAUGAGGAGGCGAUGGUUAUGGAUGGGGCCUCACUCCGAUAUACAUACAUGGCUGUUGCUGGUUCGGUACUGGUCACCUGCCAUCAUUCCUUGCAUACAUACAUACGUAAACGCACAUGCAAGCACAUGCACCACCGGCGGUAUAUCCACACACCAACACACACACACACACACACACACUCUCUCUCUCUCUCUCUCUCAAAAACUAAUCCAUACACACACACACAUACAUACACACACAUACAUACACACACUCUCUCAAAAACGUCCCCCCAACAAUUGUAUCUCUGUGUUUGUGAGGUUGGGAAAGAUUCACCCGCCCCCUAACAUUCACCAGCUCCCACACCGUGUACAUGUGCUGAUGUACUACUCGGUACUGCUGUAUUGCCGGACCUUGGACCACUCUUCAGAUGCGAAUGUACAUGCCAUGCAAAGCUGCUGCAUUUGUGCGCUGCGUGUUGUGUUCCUCACACGCGGCUGUUGAAUUCCAGUUCUUUCGACCGUAAGAGGCAGGAUGCACCCCCAUGCCGGCGUUGGACAGCGAUGGACCUGGUUAUAGCGACCUGCGGAACCGAUUGGGAGUGGAGUUGACGCUGCUGCCGUUGAUCCCGCAGAUUCCGCUGGAAUUUGGUGGUGCGUGCUCAACACCAAAAAGCCGCUGACGUUGCAUGAGCCGGCAUGCAUGCGAUGGAUGAGUUCUCCCCCAAACAUGUGGAAAGGUAGGACUGCCCGGCUAUUGUCCGUGGGCAAAGCUGUACCCCCCUACACCACACAUUUAUGUUCUGCAUCUGUGCAUGUGAGUUGGGCAUGUGUAUCUAUCUCUGAUAGGAAAGCCACCUCAUGAACCUGCUUGCGUGAGCAAACCCCGGACGACCGUUACACAUUUGCUUACAGCUCCCUUUCCUAUCCUCUCCUUUCCCAUCCAAAGCCCAUCGUCAUAUCUUCCUCGCCUUCUCUCCUCCCUGUCUGCGCUUGUUGGCGUGUGCCCACGAUUUCAUCAAAAGUGUUCCUGCAGUCGAUCACGAUGGGACUCGAACCCACAAUCCCCGCCUGAAUCCCUGGCGUAAAACCGGAGGGCGAUGCCUUAUCCAUUAGGCCACGCGACCACCGCGAUGACACGCAGCACACACAUCGGUUCUCAUACGCCCCGUUGCUAGACGACAUGGGAGCUGCGAGUCUGCGCGGCCCCAUCCCACAAUCACAUCACCUUCACGGGCGUGUUUUGCUGGGCACACGGGGGCAUUUAGGCGUGGCCGACCGGUUGUCGGGGCAAGGAUAUUAUUCUCAAUAUGUGCGGGUGCACAUUCUGUUCGUUGCAUUCUGUUCCCCACUGCACCGAACAUCGUCCCCCUAUGUGUGUGUGCAUAUGCAUGUGUCGGGCAGGGAGAGGUCAUCACCGCUCGCUGCAUGUGCUAGUACUGGGGCUGCAUGCAUGCCUGUUUUCGUAGGUGCUGGCCAGAAGGCUCAAGAGUACCAAGUACAGGCGGUCUUGGGCGUGUAGUGGAUGUCCUUUGGCGUGUUGAGCGCCUCUACCCCAAAGUGGGGGAAAGGAAGCGCCGCAAAUUUGUUGAUUUGCAUACCGCCGUUGUAGGCUUUUGCUCGAUGCUGCUGAUGAGAGGAGAGGAGAGGCCCCGACUUGCUGCAAUCCGCACCAUCCGCAUGACUCUCAUUUGACUCACCAUCGUCAGAUGGUCAUGGUUGUCGUGGUGGUGGUGAUGGUUGUCGUGCUGGUGGUGGUGGUGCUGGUGGUGGUGGUGGUGAUGAUGAUGAUUCUCCUUAUUAUUUAUAUUAUUAUGGCGCACAGCUGAUGAGGAGGCGAUGGUUAUGGAUGGGGCCUCACUCCGAUAUACAUACAUGGCUGUUGCUGGUUCGGUACUGGUCACCUGCCAUCAUUCCUUGCAUACAUACAUACGUAAACGCACAUGCAAGCACAUGCACCACCGGCGGUAUAUCCACACACCAACACACACACACUCUCUCUCUCUCUCUCUCUCUCAAAAACUAAUCCAUACACACACACACACAUACAUACACACACUCUCUCAAAAACGUCCCCCCAACAAUUGUAUCUCUGUGUUUGUGAGGUUGGGAAAGAUUCACCCGCCCCCUAACAUUCACCAGCUCCCACACCGUGUACAUGUGCUGAUGUACUACUCUGUACUGCUGUAUUGCCGGACCUUGGACCACUCUUCAGAUGCGAAUGUACAUGCCAUGCAAAGCUGCUGCAUUUGUGCGCUGCGUGUUGUGUUCCUCACACGCGGCUGUUGAAUUCCAGUUCUUUCGACCGUAAGAGGCAGGAUGCACCCCCAUGCCGGUGUUGGACAGCGAUGGACCUGGUUAUAGCGACCUGCGGAACCGAUUGGGAGUGGAGUUGACGCUGCUGCCGUUGAUCCCGCAGAUUCCGCUGGAAUUUGGUGGUGCGUGCUCAACACCAAAAAGCCGCUGACGUUGCAUGAGCCGGCAUGCAUGCGAUGGAUGAGUUCUCCCCCAAACAUGUGGAAAGGUAGGACUGCCCGGCUAUUGUCCGUGGGCAAAGCUGUACCCCCCUACACCACACAUUUAUGUUCUGCAUCUGUGCAUGUGAGUUGGGCAUGUGUAUCUAUCUCUGAUAGGAAAGCCACCUCAUGAACCUGCUUGCGUGAGCAAACCCCGGACGACCGUUACACAUUUGCUUACAGCUCCCUUUCCUAUCCUCUCCUUUCCCAUCCAAAGCCCAUCGUCAUAUCUUCCUCGCCUUCUCUCCUCCCUGUCUGCGCUUGUUGGCGUGUGCCCACGAUUUCAUCAAAAGUGUUCCUGCAGUCGAUCACGAUGGGACUCGAACCCACAAUCCCCGCCUGAAUCCCUGGCGUAAAACCGGAGGGCGAUGCCUUAUCCAUUAGGCCACGCGACCACCGCGNNNNNNNNNNNNNNNNNNNNNNNNNNNNNNNNNNNNNNNNNNNNNNNNNNNNNNNNNNNNNNNNNNNNNNNNNNNNNNNNNNNNNNNNNNNNNNNNNNNNNNNNNNNNNNNNNNNNNNNNNNNNNNNNNNNNNNNNNNNNNNNNNNNNNNNNNUAAUCCAUACACACACACACACAUACAUACACACACUCUCUCAAAAACGUCCCCCCAACAAUUGUAUCUCUGUGUUUGUGAGGUUGGGAAAGAUUCACCCGCCCCCUAACAUUCACCAGCUCCCACACCGUGUACAUGUGCUGAUGUACUACUCUGUACUGCUGUAUUGCCGGACCUUGGACCACUCUUCAGAUGCGAAUGUACAUGCCAUGCAAAGCUGCUGCAUUUGUGCGCUGCGUGUUGUGUUCCUCACACGCGGCUGUUGAAUUCCAGUUCUUUCGACCGUAAGAGGCAGGAUGCACCCCCAUGCCGGUGUUGGACAGCGAUGGACCUGGUUAUAGCGACCUGCGGAACCGAUUGGGAGUGGAGUUGACGCUGCUGCCGUUGAUCCCGCAGAUUCCGCUGGAAUUUGGUGGUGCGUGCUCAACACCAAAAAGCCGCUGACGUUGCAUGAGCCGGCAUGCAUGCGAUGGAUGAGUUCUCCCCCAAACAUGUGGAAAGGUAGGACUGCCCGGCUAUUGUCCGUGGGCAAAGCUGUACCCCCCUACACCACACAUUUAUGUUCUGCAUCUGUGCAUGUGAGUUGGGCAUGUGUAUCUAUCUCUGAUAGGAAAGCCACCUCAUGAACCUGCUUGCGUGAGCAAACCCCGGACGACCGUUACACAUUUGCUUACAGCUCCCUUUCCUAUCCUCUCCUUUCCCAUCCAAAGCCCAUCGUCAUAUCUUCCUCGCCUUCUCUCCUCCCUGUCUGCGCUUGUUGGCGUGUGCCCACGAUUUCAUCAAAAGUGUUCCUGCAGUCGAUCACGAUGGGACUCGAACCCACAAUCCCCGCCUGAAUCCCUGGCGUAAAACCGGAGGGCGAUGCCUUAUCCAUUAGGCCACGCGACCACCGCGAUGACACGCAGCACACACAUCGGUUCUCAUACGCCCCGUUGCUAGACGACAUGGGAGCUGCGAGUCUGCGCGGCCCCAUCCCACAAUCACAUCACCUUCACGGGCGUGUUUUGCUGGGCACACGGGGGCAUUUAGGCGUGGCCGACCGGUUGUCGGGGCAAGGAUAUUAUUCUCAAUAUGUGCGGGUGCACAUUCUGUUCGUUGCAUUCUGUUCCCCACUGCACCGAACAUCGUCCCCCUAUGUGUGUGUGCAUAUGCAUGUGUCGGGCAGGGAGAGGUCAUCACCGCUCGCUGCAUGUGCUAGUACUGGGGCUGCAUGCAUGCCUGUUUUCGUAGGUGCUGGCCAGAAGGCUCAAGAGUACCAAGUACAGGCGGUCUUGGGCGUGUAGUGGAUGUCCUUUGGCGUGUUGAGCGCCUCUACCCCAAAGUGGGGGAAAGGAAGCGCCGCAAAUUUGUUGAUUUGCAUACCGCCGUUGUAGGCUUUUGCUCGAUGCUGCUGAUGAGAGGAGAGGAGAGGCCCCGACUUGCUGCAAUCCGCACCAUCCGCAUGACUCUCAUUUGACUCACCAUCGUCAGAUGGUCAUGGUUGUCGUGGUGGUGGUGAUGGUUGUCGUGCUGGUGGUGGUGGUGCUGGUGAUGAUGAUGAUUCUCCUUAUUAUUUAUAUUAUUAUGGCGCACAGCUGAUGAGGAGGCGAUGGUUAUGGAUGGGGCCUCACUCCGAUAUACAUACAUGGCUGUUGCUGGUUCGGUACUGGUCACCUGCCAUCAUUCCUUGCAUACAUACAUACGUAAACGCACAUGCAAGCACAUGCACCACUGGCGGUAUGUCCACACACACACACACUCUCUCUCGCUCUCUCAAAAACUAAUCCACACACACGCACACACACACACACGCACACACACACACGCACGCACACACACACAUACACACUCUCUCAAAAACGUCUCCUCAACAAUUGUAUCUCUGUGUUUGUGAGCUUGGGAAAGAUUCACCCGCCCCCUAACAUUCACCAGCUCCCACACCGUGUACAUGUGCUGAUGUACUACUCUGUGUUGCUGUAUUACCGUACCUUUGAACGCUCGUCAGAUGCGAAUGGAAGUAUAUCGGCUUUGGAGGGUAGCGGUAUUGAUACCUGGCAAUGGUGGGCACUGCUGCCGGCUCAGCGGCCGGCCCAUUCCCGCCCACCUGCCUUCCUGCUGGAUGUCGCUGGGCAGAGGGCGUCCAGCAGAAGGGCAACGGGCGCAGCUACCGGAACCUGCUCAGGGAGCUGGGCCUGUUUCGGAGCCAUCCCAACAGCAGGCUGUUGAGACUGCUGCGCUAUAACUUUGCAAAGGGUUUCUGAGUUAACCUGAAUUUUGGUAACGAUGCGGAGCUGCAGCGGUUCAUGUGCGUGAUUGUGAUAUUGAGCGGAAAAAUGCAAGGUGGCGGGCCGGUGGGCAGGGCAAAGAGGGAACAAUUCAUGCCCUGGCCUCGCUGUGAUAAUCGUACAGUAUGCAAAAUUUUCAAAUGAAUUGUUGAAAGGCCCCGUGUCGAAACCUAGGACAAGUACAGUUCCAAUAGGCCAACUGGCCAGGUGGUGACGCAACGUGCAACUUGGAAUGCGAGAAAUAUACAGGACGAUUUAUCCUAUGUUGCAAGAAAGUAUGCUGGGGCUUAUCCAAAGCAACCACAAAGGACCGUGGGUGUUGCGGGCUGGCUUGUCCGGCGGUCCAAUCCGUGAAUGACAGGUCACACCUUUGCACGUCAAGUCUUACAACGACAUGCACAGAACAAAGUCAAACACUUUCUAACGUGUCGGAUUACGUUGAACGCCGCUGUUGAAUCUUACGACCGGUUCCAUACACUCCUCCACAAACGAAAUUCCUGUGCUAAAUGUGUCCAAACUUAGGACUUUAUGGAUAGGAAUUUCAAGCGGACAGCCCCAGGACGCACAGACAGCCGUCAAGGUUCGACCAUAUCCUUCCGUCGGCAGUCCAUCCUACAAAAGGUGAAAAAGGGAAGGGGAAUAUCGGAACCCCUGGAUUCUUUUCCUCACUGGUAACCGUUGGUUUACCUGGCGCGUCGUCUCUUUGUCAAUGCCUUCGUUCAAAUGCUCCUUGCAGCAGCCGUCCUGAUUCACACAGCCCAAAAACUGCACGCACUAUAAAAACGUCUUUAACACCGCAUUCCUUCACAUCGCGUGAAAGACCCGAGUGAGACAGCAGCCCCAAGAAUCCUGGUUCGUUAGCACCAACCUGCUGUAGCCAGCUCCAACUUCAACGGCAAGCUCGUCCUUGCCACCUAGGGCACGCCUCUGGAAGGAAGAGCGUCGUUCCGUGCUAAAUUUUCAUGUAGUCAGCAACGGCAAAGAGCGCCCCGCAGGUACAGGCCCGGAGGGGCGCGGGCUCACGCUCGUGAUGUGUCCUGGCACUAUCGUGCCCGUAAGCCACAGCCGCCCUGUAUCGUGGGCUUGAAAUCGAUGGGGUACAAUUGUUACUGAGAAUCACGCGGCGCUGCACGGCCUUUGCCACACGCAACCAUAAAUCUCUCUGCCUUGCCUUGGCCUUUCCGCGCCCCGCUGCAUGUAGCCUCCUGCGAAGGGUCCCUACUAUUUGAAAGAAGCACAAGGAAGCCAAAGGGACAUCAACAGCGGAUACUCCCCAACAGCGCCCUCCUUGAUCGCUCGCUCGUCCUCCUCCCCGUCCGCGUGCACAGGCCAUUCAAGUUCAGCUGUCACCCGGGGGCCAGCGCGCAGGCUUACCUGCAAGAGUGAACGGCAGCAGCAUUAGCGGUAACGAGGUCAGGAACAGCGCGAAGGCCGUUAAGAAGAACAGCAAGGACGAUCCACCACCACAAGCAACCGCAGCAGCAGCAGUAGCAGCGAAUGUCCCACCUACCUGUCCGCGGAAGCAGGUUGGCGGCACCUACAUCGUCGGGUGGCGACCUCGCCGCGGCCGCCACCGCCGCCGCCGGAGUAAUGGGCCCGUUAGGCUUUGGACGUAGCUCAGCGCGACCGCCGCCAACCCCCGCCGCCGCUGCCACUCCGCCCGCCACCGCCUCCUCCUUCAGGACGUCCACGUCCCACCGCCAUUCCAUCCCGCCGCCACCACAACCGCCAACGCCAUCACCAACGUUUUCAUCAUGUCUGCCAUCACCCAGCGUGCUUGCCCUACCACCGCCAGGAGCGCUAUCGGCCGCUUCUGCUGCAACCUCCGCGGCGGCAUGCAGUGGUACGACAGGAGGUGGUGCGGCGUCGGCGGCCACCGUCGCCUGUGCGGCGUCACCAAUAGGAGCACUAGCAGUAGCACCGAAGCCACUAGCGAAGAUGCCGUCAUUGCGGUUAUGCCGUAGUGGUAGCGGGGGUGGUCGUACACAGUGCCAGAGGCGCAUGCGGGUCAUCGCGGCAGCAUGGCGGGCAGGCAGUCCCGGUGGAAGCACCUGCCACGAACAGAACUCCAAUGCCGUGUACGGUAGCGGCUGGGAGGUACGGCGGGCGGUAGGGGCGACGGCGGCGACCGCCGCCGCGGCGGCGGCACUGGAUGGCAGCGGUGGGUCCGACGGCGUCAGCUUCGGUGGCGACACGGGUGGUGUUGGCAGCGGCGGCGGCGGUACGGAUGGGGGAACGCCCUUCCUGGAGUUCCCGACGGCGGAGGUUCGCAUGAGUAUGGUUUCGGAGCGCGCGGCAGCGACGUGCGCGCUAGGGCCGGGGAUUGCGGAGCGGAUGCAGGUAGGGGGGAGCCGCCGGGGGAAGGAGGAUGCGCCGCCGAGGUGAGGGCAAGCAUGGGGCUAGAGUGGAUCGACCAUGGGCGCAGAGCAGGGGGACAAAUUUUCUCGCCCUUCCUGGUAGGGUCGUGUGUAUUUUCCGCCCGCCUCCCCCUUCGGCCCCGGGUUAGGGCCCCGGGUGGCGGCGACUUGCGACGGUGCAAUGACGCAGAUGGAUGGGGUGCUGGACCCCGGGGUGGGCUGGGGGUGAACGUAAGGGGGGGAGCGCGGCUGGAAGGGGGUGAAGUGAAGCGGGGAGGGCCAGUGAAGAGGACACAGACAGACAGACAGGCAGGCAGGCAGGCAGGGGAUGGGCAGCCAUACAUUUGAGGAAGGCGGCGGCGGUGACCAUACGGCAACGACAAGUGCUACCAGCGGUGCUUCCGAGGCACUUCUUUGUUCGUACCUUGCUAUGUUCUCACAGCGAGCAUACAUAUAUAUACAUACAUACAUACCCUAGUUGAUGGACGGUGGUGACCUGGGAUAAAGUUAACCUGCGAGCCGACCAGGAAUGGAGUUGGGCCGCUGUCGACCCGGCAGAUUCCGUUGGAUGCUGGUGGUGGGUGCGGAACCUGAGCGAUCCGCUGAGAAGUUGACUAGGGUGACUAGAUGAGGGUGCCCCGAAAUACCGGGGAAGGCAGGGUUUCGCAGGUUAGCUGCCACGGGUAAAGAUAUACCCCCCUGUUUCACACAUCAUACAUACAUAACGAAUAACGAUGUGCUGGGUGCGAGAAACCCCAUCCGACCGGGGGCCCCCCACAGCCCCCUCCCUCCUACCCCGCCGCGCCUAUGUCCCAUCCCACCCCCACUGCCCAGUCCAACUCCCCUCCGGGGCCGCACCGCGCUUGUCCACUGGGGCGCCUUCUCCCCCCCCACAGGCCGACUGCAUCCGUGCCGUACGAUCUUGGUGCAAGCUGGGGUACGGCGAUCACAUCGUCGUACACGUGGUAAGGGAGCCAGGCGUGUCGCUGGGGUCCAGUUGGGGGGAUGCUCCUGCGCCCUCCUCCCUCCCCUACUUCUACGUGAACCAUCACUUCAUUUAGUGCUGAGCGGUGUUGAGUGGUGGCGGUGAUGUUGUCGGCGGAACUGAACUCCCGCUGUCGCGGAGGCGGAGGCGGCCCCCCUACAGCCCUCCUGCCUGCCCUCCUGCCUGCCGAGUAGGUCGCCAGCAGUAGCGGCAGUAGCCGUCGCCAUGCAGAACAGCUGACGUCCGCGGCCACAACCGAGUGACAGAGGACCAGGGGGGUGAAGGAGACGGUUUGCAACGCGCGCGCGCACACACACACACACAGACAUCAUCAUUACCAUCAUCAUUAUGAGUAUCAUUAUCGUAUUCGUCGUAUGAUGAUUCCCCCCCUCCCACCACCAAAUUGUCCAAACAGGAGCACCAGCAGCUGGCCUCUGCUCCUGGACUCCUCUCCAGCGCCGCGGUGGCAUUCGCGGGGCCCGACGGCCGCCGCCACGCAGCCAUCGCCGUAAGUGUCGGUGUCCUCACCGCCGCGGGCCCCGCAGCCGUCGCUGCGCCGCCGCCGCUGCAACCCCCCUCACCGUCUCGAGAAAGCGUCAGCCGGCAGUUCGCACCUACCCCUGCUGACGACAGCGCCGCCGCCGCCGCCGCCACCACCGAGUCAGGACCGACCUUAGAUUUGUCACCGCAGCGGCGGCUGCAGCGGCCGGCGGCGGCGGCGCAUGUGGCUCCAGGCAGCUCCGCGCCCUCCCUGGACCCCCUACCGGGUCUCAGCCUCCAUUGGGGCUGCAGCUACGGACCUGGGCAGCGGUGGCACGCUGCGGCGCCAGGAUGGCAUACGCUGCCGGCGGUGUCGUACGACGCCGGUACGACAUUGUGUUCAGGGUCGUUCCGCUUUUUUACCCACACACAUAUCUGCGGUGCAUGCACCGCUAUUUCCCGGGACCAUGGGACCCGGGGGAGGGAGGGGAAAGGGAAGGCGAGGGGAGGGGAAAGGUGAGGGGAGGGAAAAGGGGUGAGGGGAGGAAGCGGGUGCAGCUAGCUGCUCGUUGGUGCGUGUGGUCGUCAUCAUCUUGGUCGUCGUCGUUGUCGUAUGUCCGGGAUUUUUUAGUUAUUUGAAAGCCCCCAUUAUGUAUUCGUCUUGUCCCUUUCUACCGUUUCUACUCCUAAGCCUCCUUACCCCUCGUUGCCAGCUUCCCUUACCGAAACCCUAAGCCCAUCCAACCCCCAUUUGCACGCACAUGCACAUACAUACUUGCUGACAUACAUUCAUAACCACCAUUCCGCCAUUUCGCUGCCUUCGGCUGAGUCCACCAAAACACGGCCCUGUGUCGCCUCCCCGUCAUGUCACGUGGGGGGUCUCACCGCAAAUCCUACCACAGGCAAGGGAGCCUGGCAGACGCCGCUGGCUGUACGGCAGGCCAUACCGCUUGAUCUAGAUUCGGAUUUGGAUCCGGCAUCAGGAGGCUGUGGUGGCACUAGCAGUAGCCCGGGGCAGUGGGUUGCGGUGUACAGUUUGGUGCUACAGCUGCCCUGGGAGGGACCCAUACGGUGAGUGGGAGUGGGGAGUGGGUCCCUUUGCUGGGGACGGGGCGGCGGUGGAGGUGAUGAUGUGGAUAGGGGGUUAUCGGGACUUGGGGGGGGCUUGCGGGGUGUGGAAAGAGGGCGGUCCGGAAUAGCGAGUUGGGGGGACAGUGGCUGACUUGUGUAGUUGAGUGACAUGAGCCGCGAUGUGUAAGGGUUGGAGGUGUCACAUGCGCCGGUGUGUGUGUCUUGUUUGUAUGUAUGUAUGUAUGUAUGUAUGUAUGUAUGUAUGUAUGUGUGUUUAGACUGUUCUCCUCUUCCUCCUCCUCGUUCCCCUCCUCCUUCCCCUCCUCCUUCCCCCCCUCCUCCUCUUCUUUCUCCUCCUCUUGUCCUCUUCCAGGAGAGGGCCCCCUCACUUAAGCACACACACCGUCCCCAACCCCCCUCCCACACGGUCGUGGCGACAGUGACGGCGGCCUUUGCUUCGUGCUCAAGACUGCUCGAAACCAGUGGAUUAAGGCCCGGGUGCUGCCAGCUGCCGGUGCAGGCCGUACUGGCAGCGGCCAUGGCGGCAAUAGCCCUGCAGGUGGCGGUGGUGGAGUGGAGGCAGAUUUCUGGAUUCCCUGCUCGUCCAUUCCGGUAGCGGCGAAUGGAGUGCCGCUGCUUCCGGACGUAUUCCGAAUGAGCCACUCGGACAGCCUACCGCAGGUACUGCGUGUGUGUGUGUGUGUGUGUGUGUGUGUGUGUCUGGAGUAUGUGGGGGGGAGGGAGGGGUGCGGUGCGUUGGAGUGGAGGGAUGUGGAGGGAAAGGGGUGUGAGUAGGCAUGCCAUUUAUGGCGUAAACACCGCAGAUUGUACGCAUAUUUACAUAUAUAUAUGUAUAUAUAUAUGUAUAUAUAUAUAUAUAUGUAACCCGUUAUAUAUAUAUAUAUAUAUGUAACGGGUACAAACCUUGGCCAAUAAUUCUUACAUACCUUCCGCCUUCCGGCAAAGAUUCAGCGCCAACUUCAAACAUGAACCCCAAUUUUGGAGGGAUUCUAGGAUUCUGGAGCCUGUCAUACGGCGCACGUGACAGCGCAACUAUCUCUGUACGACCCAACGGCCAUGUCCGUACCACCCUAGCCGAAACUACGCAUGGUGACAAAGGUUGUUUUGGCGCGAUAGCUUCCGAUUUCAACGCCAAGUUUAGGGGAAUGGAGGGCUGUGUCAUACCUCCACCCAUGACCGCACAAAGAUGGUUGUACGGCCUAAGGAGUAUGACUGUACAUUCUGACGCCGCCCUUAGACAGUCAGCACAACCUCCUCAUCGGCUCCCUUGGUCUCGGCCUGGCAGUUGGCCUUGACGAAGAUCAGCUUCCCUGCGCGGCGCAUUUGACCAGGGCAAGCUCCGGUCCACCAGGGUUGGCAGAGGAGCGAAGACGGGGACAAACGUGUGACACCAGUUGGGCCGCUUGCUGAGUUAACGCAGCCGGUUGCUGCAGCUCGUUGAAAGAUUCUUCGGGAGCAGCUGCUCGACACGCCGUGGUUGCUCGACAUGCUGCAACCCUAGUCGUUAAGCAACCAUGGCGUGGCAGCAGUGGGGGGGAACAGGGGACGGAGGGGUGUGGGAGGGGGGGGGCUGUAGGAGGGGUGCGGGUGUGGGUGUGGGAGGUGGGGAUGUGUGGUAGGUAGGGGGGAAGGGGUGUGGGGUGUACGAGGAGUUGGGGGUACGACGAAGCACGGACGAUUGACGAGAUGAAGGAACCAUUGACGGAUAUGCCAAGGUAAGACCAAUACUGAGAGAGGAGAACGAGCAAGGAAGAUUGUGACCCCUAGUGGCUUGGUUUGUAGUCAUCGCGGCAAUGUAGGCAGUUAAAUUCCGGAACUAUAAAGCAUCUGCCGAGUCCAAAGGAAGGACAACGAAUUGACUGCCUAGCCGUGGAGAUAAAAAUAAAAGAGUGAUAAAGGAAGCAGAAAUGCAGACGAAGCCGUAGAGGUGAAAAGUAAAGGUAAAGGCAGCGGAGGGCAAAGCUGCCUUUAAGUUGUAUCGGAAGCUGUGUGCCGACCUGUAAUUGGAAGUAGUAGUAACUAAUAACUAAAUUUGCUGAUUUGCAGCGCCAAUACGCUGUUAGCUGCCACGCAAGUGCUCCUCCCAACCCCCCAUCUGACACGCCCCUGACCCGACCGACCCACCCACCCCAACCCGAGGAGCCGAACGACGCAACGCGCAACAGGGACAGAGCUCGCAUCCAGUAGGACUCACCUGGCCAGGCGGCAUAAGCGGCAGGGGCGGCGGGCAAAGGCACAUGCGAAACAGAAAAGAAGGAAGUUGAUAAGGCGCGCAGAUAAACGAAAAACGCACGCGGAAUGCCGCAGUAUGAAAGACUAAUAAAUAAAGCGUAGAAGAUGAAAGGGUUGAGGAGAACCUAACAAAUAUAAAAAGGAAAAGAGGGACAAGGAGUUGGGGGGAAAGGAGGGGGGAAGGAAGGAUGGAGCAGGAGGGGAGGGAGGGAGGGAAGUAUGUGUUUAGUGAAGUAAGGGAAGUAAGUAGUUGUGGUUCUCGGGAGGGGUUCCUCUUGUGUUGUAUGUAUGUAUCUAUGUAUGUAUUUUGGGCGGGUGUACGUGCGGGUGGAUGUCAUGGAGGAGGAGGAUGUGGACCAUUUACCUGCGUACGGCGGGUGCCCCUAAACCCGCACACACCCUUACGUGCUGCCGCUGCUGCCCCAUGUGCCGCCUGAUCAGCCCGUACAAUCUCAGGUAUAUCCAACUGACAACUCAAACAGGGACGAAGCCCACGACCCAUCCCCUCCCCUCCGUCCCCUCCCCCCCCGCGCGCCGUACUGCCCAGGUGGCGGUACAACAGGGAAUUACCACCACGGUUCCGGAGCCAUCCUCUCACAGCCACCAGCACCAUGGCAACGGCAAUAACGGUCAUGGUGACGUCAGCUCUGCCGCCGCCACUACAACCCCUACUCUCACUCCUCAUCAGCCAGCUGGGUCAGUGACCCCGGCUGGUGGUGGUGGUGCUGGCGGUGGUGUCUUAGAGGCGCAGUCCUCCGGCCCCCCGUCUGAGUGGGGGUCGGAGGCGGUGGACUUGCUGGGGUUUGCUGCGCACUUCCGAGCCCCCCCCCGCCUCUCCGAUGUACUGCUACGGCCCGCAGACCGCCACCCGCUGCCGCCACCGCCACCCCCGCCAGCGCCUGAAGCCGAAUCCGAAUCCGAAUCCGGAUCCAGGCGGCGGUCCUCUGCGGGUCCGGGUGCGCGCGUGUGUGUGUGGAUGUUGGAUCACAUCGCCCAGAAGGAGCCCUCCGCGGAGAGGUCCCUGAUGCACCGGUAAAGACUGGGGGGAAGGGGGCGAGGGUUGUGUGUCUUGGGGUGUGUGUGUGUGUGUGGACAGUUCAGGGACACGGUCGGCCUGGGGGGCCAAGGGGCACCAUGGGGCCUUCCCCCUCCCCUUCCCCUUGGGUAAGGAAUUCACCAAGGGGAAUGACAAGGGGAUAAGGUUCAUGGGGGCGCGCUGUGAGCGGACGCUGUGUUUCAUUUCCUUCGUCUUGUCCUGCACACCACCGCUGCACCACCACCGGCCCCAGUCCACCCCUUACCCCUCCCCCCGCUCCCCACUCCCCCUCAGCUACGUACACAGCACAAUGCGGCAUGUCCGCUUCCCACCUAAUGUAUUUCCCAACCCCGCAACCACCACAACAGCAACCGCCAUAACUGCUGUCCGUACAGGUACAACGUGGGUGCUGAUCUGGUUGAGAUGGCCGGUGGGAGUGGGGAGGUGGCGGAGGCCCUGGCGGCCGUGACCACCUGGCUCAGGUUGGCGGGUUUGGGGGUUGGGGCUGGGGGGGUGGAGUUUUAGGCUUUGGCGUGAGGGUGGUAAGAUAGUUGAUCGUCUGCAUCAUAGAAUUUCCUGCUCUUUUUCCCCCUCCCUCACCCUCCCUCACCCUCCCUCACCUCCCUUCACCCCUCCAGACUCCCNNNNNNNNNNNNNNNNNNNNNNNNNNNNNNNNNNNNNNNNNNNNNNNNNNNNNNNNNNNNNNNNNNNNNNNNNNNNNNNNNNNNNNNNNNNNNNNNNNNNNNNNNNNNAGCGCAUACGGGAUGAAAUCCUGGCGAUACAGCAACGGAAUGACUGCAAGGUAUGUACGUACGUAAGGGUGUUUAGCGGGAGAGAGAUGGGGGGUGGAAAGGGGUUUGGGGGCUGCGGAAGGGCGGAGGGGGAGGGCGAGGGAGGGAGCAGCGAUUAUGUUUGCGGGCCGGGAGAGGGAGGUAGCAGUGUAAGCUGGGGGGCCUCUUGGUGUGUAUGUGGAAGUGCGGUGUAUGGGGCUUUGGGGAGUCGGUGUGGGGUUGAACUGUCUUCCCGGUCUUCCCGGUGGUUCACCGACGCCGGGGGUGGUGGUGGUGGUGGUGGUGGUAACGAGUGGGUCUCCCCUGAGUCGGUCACUCAGCACCCGGGCUGCUGCCUGCCUUCAGCCUUCCUUGCCCUGGGGGGAAAACGGGGAGGGGAUGCUGUGUUUCCCACGCCGACCGCCCUGACCCUUCUACGCGGGGUGGGGUGGGGUGGGGGUUUGGGUGGGACUUAGAGUUUCCGGUGUUGCCCCCGGGGAGGGGGGAGGGGGCGCUCGGACGUCGUAACCGGUACCCUCUCUCCCUCUUUGUUGUGCUCUCCUCCCCUCCCCUGGCCCCCUUCCAACCCGCGCCUACACACACACAUAUACAUACAUGCAUACACACGCACACACGCCCGCCCCGCCUCGCCCCCAGGGCGGUAUGAUGGAGGAGUGGCACCAGAAGCUGCACAACAACACCUCCCCGGACGACGUGGUGAUAUGUAGGGCCCUUCUGGACUACAUUGCCGGUGGGGAGAGGGGAGGGGCUUGGGGGGUUAUUGAGCCGGUGUAUAAGAUGGUGGGGUUGGUUGACCGGUUAAUUGGAUGUUCAUUCAUGGCAUUUGGAAAGGCAGGAAAGCUCAGAACCAAUCUGGGUUGGGUUGAGGGUCUUAUUCCCCACGGGGGGAAGGAGUGUGUGCGUGUCUGUGUGGGGUGUGUGUGUAUGAGUGAGGUGUGGGGGUGGGGGGAAGGGAAGCGCGGCGCUUCUCCUCCUCGCCAACUCAUUACCCCUAACUUCAGUCGCAUCGCACUGCCGCCACCGGACCUCCACCCCCCAAUACCGGCCGGGGGGCACAACGGCUCCUCCCCGCAUCACCCGCUUCCGCGGGUCCACUGCCCCUCCUCCACCACUGCCUUCCCGCCCUCCCCGCCUUCGCUUUCGGCCCCUCUCCCCCUCCUUGACCCACACCCACACCUACACGCUGACGUCGCGUCGCGUCGUGUAUUUAGGACCGACCCCCCCUCUACACACACAUAGGACACCACCGUGGGGGCGGGUGGUAUACUAGCUGGUACACAGUACGGCAGACAUAACCUCUACAAAUACACCCUAGGCGCUCGACCAGCAACAUCUCGCGAGGCCUUUUCAGCGGCCAGCUAUUACAGAUGGGGGCAGCGAGUGGGGAUAGUGGGAGCCUAUUACCCGCCCUGUUACCGACCCAACCGGUAAAACCCCCCUUAGUGACAGGCCACUUCACAUCCCUCUUCACGUAACCCCCUCUCCUCCCCCCUCCCCUCCCCUCCCCUCCCUGCACAUCUCCUCCUCCCCUGUUUCCCCCCAGCCGGUCUAUCCGUCACCGCCUACUGGCGCACCCUGAGCUCCGCGGGCAUCACCGCCCAACGUCUGGCCUCGUUCGACCGCCCCAUCACCUCCGAGCCGCGGUUCAGCGGGCAGCAGGCGGCGGGCCUUCAGAGGGACCUCACCGCAUACCUGCAGGUGGGGCGGAGGAGGGGGGAGGGGGGAGGGCGUGUGGAGGGGAUGGAUAUGUGUAUGGAUCCUGCUAGCUUGAUAGUGUGUGAGAAUACGGAGGGGGAAAGGGGCGGAAGAGGAGAAGGGAGGGGGGCCGCCGUACUGAGUAUGGCCCUGGUGUUGCGGACCGCGUGUGGUUUGGAUGCGGGUGUCUGGGGCUAUGUUGGGUUCGCGGUGCGGCGGAUUAGAGGUUGCCAACUGUCAACUACCGCCACACCGUCGUUAACUGUCAACUGCUCAAUUUGUGGCAGCAGCUGCUGGUCGUUAUUGCUGAAGGGACAAAUCCAAAUCCCUUCUCGUCCCAGUCUACCUCUCGGCUCCGGUGAUCCGGCUCCCUCCACCUCAAACCCCGCCCCCUGCCCCACCUCCCCCUACCCCUACCCCACCUCAAACCCCCCGCCCCCUGCCCCACCUCCCCCUACCCCUACCCCUACCCCUACCCCUACCCCACCUCCCCCUACCCCUACCCCACCUCAAACCCCACCUCCUCCUCCCCCACCUCAAACCCCCCUCCCCCUACUCCUACUCUACUUGAAACCCCCCUCUCCCCCCUCCCCUACCCCUACCUCUACCCCUACCCCUACCCCUCAACAGACCCUCCAGGCUGUUCACGGGGGUGAUGACCUGGCCUCAGCCAUAAACAACGUGCUGGGGUACCAGGAGUCGGAUAUGAAGGGUGAGGGGGAGGGGCGUGAGGGGGGGGGAGACGAACCACGAACGAGUGAAGCUGCUGCCAGGGCAAGAGUGUACCAGAAGUAGAACUUACCAAAAGGCGUUCUUGAAGUGCGGCGACCUCGGGAUGACGUAGUGAAGAAGAUGUCGGAAAACUACCUACCUAGCCGCCAAGACUAAAAUAAGCGCAGAAGAAAAGCAGUACAGCCAAGCUGUAAGAAGUAAAGGUAGGUGAAGAAGCGGCGGAAAAGUAGUAAAACAACUGCUGACAUGAAGCUGGAAUAAAGUUUGCCGCCGGCCUGGCCGCGGCAUUGACGAACUUUGGCGAAAACUGGCUGAUUAGCUGGUAAUAAAAAGCUGUCGGUGUGCAAGUGCUCCUCCAAACUCCCCCCAAAAAACGCGCGACCGACCCGACCGACCCGACUAUCCUAGUCCGGCUAGCCGACCGACGCAACGCGAUAUACACCGACAAAGCUCGAACCUUCUGGCCAGGCAGCAGAAGCAGGGGGCAAAGGCACAUGCAAGGCAGAGAGGUGGGAAAGUUGUGAGCAGCGAACGAUAAUGACAAGAACGCAUGCGAAUGCCGCUGAAAGGGAAUAUUAAGAUGGCAGGCUGGGGAAGCUGGGAAUAAGAAGCUCUAAAGAACCUCUGUGGAAGCGGAAGAAAACGAAGGGACUAAAACAGAAGAAAUACAAAUGCAAAGGCGGCGCAGGACGACGCAGAAGGUGUCGUACGAGAGAAGUGGGGGGCUCAAAACCGGUAAGAGUUCCCAUCGUCCGGGUUAUCCGACAUCUUCAGCCAGGAGGAGAUUCGAGCUGUGGAUGUUGUGGAUCUUUACCUGCCGAACGUUCACUGUUGUCUCGGUCCCCUUAACUUCAUUUGCAGGGAAGUGCAUUGUCGUACCUGCCGUACCCCACGUCGUCACCCCCACCUUGGAGCGGCACCUGAGGGCCCUUCUGGCGCUGCAACGACACCUGGCCUCCCCCGCGGCGGCGGCGGCGGCGGCGGCUGCAGCAGAUACGACAUCGCGCGGCAGCGGCACCCCGCCGCCUUCCUCGGUGAGUCGCCUUGUGCUUGUGCCCCUAACACCACAUCACCAAAUGGGGUGGUUGACCGUUGCGACUAACAGCAAUAAAUUACAAGAAUAACAACAGCAAAAUAUUAGAAUUUCAACAGCGGCAGGCCCCAUGGGAUCUAGGGGCGGUAAGGCCGGGGGAGUGAGGUGAUGAGGUUCUCCCGCAGCAGCAGUAGCAGCAGGAGCGGGAGCAGAAGUAUAGCAGUAGCACUAGCAACACUACGUCGGGUACUGAAGACUGUUCGGGUUAUUAUUUGUUACAUUAUACUGGAAGUGGGCCAUAUCUAUGUAUGUAUGUUGUUACAGGGUGGUUAACUUCGCCAGCGGCCCCCUUUCCCGGGGCAGUCCCUGCUCUCCCCUGCUAGAGGGGCACCCUAAUCCGUCACCCCAUCCGACUUCAGAAUGUAUUCGUUGGGUUCGGCAACUCACCACCAGCAUCCAACCAAAUCUAGCGGAUCAACGGCGCAUCAACUUAGUUCCUGGUCAGCUCGCAAAUUGAUUUUAUCACGUCCUACACCGUCCACAAGAUGGGGGACCACCUCCCAUUUCAACACUCCUCAAGCACCCGAGGAGCCGGCAGGCGGAUUUGAACCCAGGUCGGCCGGGAGCAGAAGUCAGGCCUUAACCUCUGCCAGCCGCCUGCCGUAUAUGUAUGUGCACAGCUUGAACCUGAGUUCCAUUCAUGUCAGGUUGUUUCAAGGAACAGAUUUCCAGGCCCGUACGGCAGUUGCUGCUUGCAUUUUGGCUGUUAUUACUUUGGGCGUCACCAAUUGAUGCCUUAUGCAUGCUUUGUCCUCCCUUCAGUGUACGGCAUCUCCCCCUCUUUACGUUGUCGGUUGUGAGUCGUACACGGUCCUUCUCCUCCUGCCUGGGCUUUGCUGAACCUCUCCGCAGGCGGCUGCUGGAGUACGGAACUCCCCGCUGGCGGCGGUGGCGUCUGGCGGCAGUGGCGGCGCCGCCGCUGGUGCCGCUGCGGUACCGGCGGCGCCCACUCAACGGCCCACUGACGUGGCGUCGCUGUACGGUCUAUCCGGUGCCGUACGGUUGAUGGAGAUGGUGGUGGAGGCGCGUCAUUGUAUCCGGCCGUUCCUGGACGGGGGCGAUUCGGCUUGUGGCGGACGGUGAGGGGCGGGGCCGAGGGAGGAGGAAGGGGGAAAGGAAAGGAGGGGGGGGGGAGGGGUGUGUCUGGGCCCGUCUUAGGGCUCCAACCUCCUGCCGCGGCAAGAUUCCGAGUACGGAAUAUCUGUGUAUGUCGGUACGGAAGGGAGUUGGGCGCCGUGUUUGUACGUGUGUAUGUAUCAUAGAAAAUGAAGGGAGGGAAAGACAUAUUUUCCAGGACUCCCGAGUACCCCGAGGACUUGUCUGUAGCAAAACCAGGAAAGGUCCCCCCAUAGGUUUCAGUCCCACCCUGACCCCCUCACUACCAGAGGUAUCAACACUUCCUAGCUUCAUCGCCACCAUAAUUACAACCCACCACGUCUCGAACGAAUUUGUCGCCGAUGUCGUACGCCGUACAGGUUGGUGGACGUGGCGUUCCUUGACCUGGCGCUGGACAGCGCUCUAAGAACCGCCGUUGAAGCCAACAUAGGGCCCGUCAAGAAGACCAUCGCCGACGCGACUGCCAUAUACAUCGCUGCGGCGGCGGCCGGGAAGGGAGCCAACGGCGGCGGCGGCGGCAGGGCCAACGGCGCCGCCGGCCGGGUUAUUGGUAACGGUAAUGGUGGCGGCGGUGGCGGCUCCGUGCUGCCCCUCCGUGGCUCCUUCGCGGCGGCGGCGGCGCUGACCCAGGUGGGGCUGGGGGCGGGGGCGGGGGUGGGGGUGGGUCCGACUUGUAGUGGUGGGAGUGGGAGUGGGUGGGAGGCUACGUCUGACAUCAUCCCCUCCCUCCCUUUCCCCCUCCUGGUCAGUUCUACGUCUGGUACACUCUUGCACUGGCAGCAGCUUCACUCGCUCGUGGUUCGUCUUUCCCCCCCUAUACCCCCUCCCUCCGUCACACACACAAAUAUGUUGAGCAGGGUAGUGGAUAUCCGCAAUGAGCCCCAUCAGGGGCGUGUCUGUGAUGUAGGGUGAUGUGUUGUACGUCCGUACUCAUCGUUAGAGGCUUCCGGUUGGGUGUGUCUCUUACCUUGUGUAUCACUGGGCACACAAGGUAAGAGAUCCGGGAUCCUCCGUUAAUCCGGGAUCCUCUGCUGCCGGACCUGUCUCACCGUUCCCUUCUUGUCGUACCCUGACCUGCUUCACCCCCUCCCCCGGGUGCCCGGGGGCCCUACAACCCCUCCUGACUCCCGCCCAACCCCUGUGUCCCUCCCUCAGGCCUCCACACCCCACCCAACCUCUAAAGCCCUGCAAGCAAACAAACAAACAAUCCUGAAUCGGGACAACAAAUUAUUAUCUCAUCGCCCUAUUUCUAUGAAACCCUUAUCCAAACGAAUUCCACCCGGACACCCCCAACACCCCCAACAUGUGCAGUAUCUGUCUAUCUCUGGUAUAUCUGCUUCAAUUGUCAGUGGUUCGUCUUACCCCCAACACCCAGUUCCCCUUCCCCCGAUCUCUUUCCCCGGUGGCCCCGGUGGCCCUGCCCGGGCCGUCCCCUCUCAGGCUCUGGAGGUGGUUCGGCUGGCGGCUGAGAACGCGGCCCUCAGCUGCUGCCCGAAUGACGACCUUGUGUACUCCAACAAAUGGCUAAGGCUGCUGGUGGCACAAGAGGGUGGGGGGGGGAGGGGAAGGGCCUUGCUGAGAGGGAAGGGGGGGGGGUGCGGGGCGGAGGAAGAGGAGGGGGAAUGCGGGGUGGGGGAAGGGGCUCCGAGUCGGGUGGCACUCCCCAACUCCUCCACCGCCUUCCCCAUGCCCCUGUGUCUACACAGACCCACGGGACGCUCGUGACCGCAUGUUGCAAGCCCUGGCCAUUGCGGAGCGGUUGAAGCGCUUCCUGGCGGACCACGGGGCGGCGCUCAUAGGCCUUAUACAGCCGGCAGCGGAGGCCCUGGCAGACAGACUAAAAUUGCAGCCGGUGAGACAGUUCGUGGGCGGGAGAGGGGAGAGGGGGGAGGGGAGAAAUGUUUUGGAUGUCCACCGCGCGUGUACAUUUAUACAUUGAUGUGUUCAUGCCUUAGGGAUAUAACAUUGUUUAGUUCUGAAGGCAUGGUCGUACCCCGAGGACAGCCCAAGAAUUCUCUUCGCGAUGUACGCCGUACGGUGCAACGUACGGCACAGGGCAGCAACUGUCUUAACUGCCCACCCGACUCCACCCGGUGGGGAGUGUAUUGCAUUGCAGGCGGCGGUGAGCGGCGUGGGGGAGGAGGUGGUUCGAGGCAGCAGCGGCGCCCCUCUGGCUCAGCUGCUGGCUUCCCUGGAGCCGGCUCUGCGGCAGGCGACCGGGGGCGGGCCCUGGCAGGUGGGGGGAAGGGGGGAAAGGGGUGGGUUAGGUCGCCCUCAUCGGGGGCCGGGCGAGAGGGGAGCCCGGUUUAGGAGCCGGGAUGGUGCGAAGGAGGGGCGGAUGCAUUCCGAGAAGGAAAUGUUCCCCCAUAGGGGCCAAAACAGCGAACUGUUCAACCGCCGACGGACUGAUCGCGACGUCAUCCAGAGUGCCGGCACAGCCGAACAGGAGUUGUCCAAAGCGAAUGAGGACACCGCCGGGGGGGUGGUGUAUCGGAACCUAGUCCAGGAAUACAUCACUACCUUGUUGCCGCCUUCCGCUGCCUUCCGACCCCGCAGCAAGAUGCGAUGCUAUGGCCCUCCCACCCACCCACCCACCACACCCACCCACCACACCCACCCCGUAUGCCAUUUUUAACACCCUUUGCCCCUCUCUUCACUGUUGGUUCUAUAUCCCGCGGCGGGCUGGUCAGAUUGUGAGUCGGGGCUCGGGCCGUCCCGUACUUGCCGGACGGUUGCGUGUGGAGGCCCGACUGGCUGCCGUACAGCAUGAGGUCAUGCGUGAGCCCACCGUACUGCUCGUGGAGGGAAUCACGGGUGGGUGGAUGGCCAUGUAGCUCUAGGGUGUGUGUGGGGGGAGCCGCGGUUGGAGGACCUAGUGUUAAUUAGGGGUUCCUCUCCUCCACCUCUCCUCCUCCUGGUGGGGGGUUGGGGGGCACUGGGAACUACUCGUACCCACCAGGGGGCCCAAGUCGUGGGCGGGUAAUGCGCCGCUGGGGCCCCCGGUGGGUGGAGCCAUAGGUCGUCCAGGAAGGCAUCGUACCGUCCACUACCCUGCUGGUGCUGCUGCUGGUGCUGCUGCUGGUGCUGCUGGUGCUGCUGCUGGUGCUGCUGGUGCUGCUGGUGCUGCUGGUGCUGCUGGUGCGCAGAUUUGGACACGACUCCCUGAACAACUCCCCGUCCCCUUGAAACCCCGGCCCCCGGCCGGUGUGUGUAUAUGUAUGUGUGUCUGUUUAGGUGCUGAGGAGAUUCCCGAUGGCUGUGUGGCUGUGCUGGUGGGGGGAGGCGCCUCGGGGCCUGGCUGCCCCGACGUGCUCAGCCACAGCGCUGUGAGGGCCCGCAACAUGGGGGUGUUGCUAGCAGGCUGCCACUGCACGGAGGUACAUGGGUGGCGGGGCAUGUGUGUGUGUCUGGGAAAGGGGGGGACGGAGGCGUCGCACGCGUGCGUGAUGGCAUGUAUGUAUGUUUUGGGGAUUUCGGGAAUUUGGGAACCUGGGAGGGGGGGGGGAAGGGGGAAAUUUGGACAGGUUCCAUGACUCGUAGGUCCGGUGAUUCGUAGGUCCGGUCUGUGUGUCCCAGGGAGCUGAGUUGCCUUCUUACGGGUCUGUCUGUCAGUCUGUAUAUGCAAUGAAUGUUGGUUGAGCUCCGAACAUGCGAGUGCACCCCUGGGGUAGGGGAACGCAGUAGGGAGGUGAAGCAGUAUGUCGUAUGCACGGCAGCCUUAUCCGCAGACUUCGGCUCUUAUUGCUGCGCCUUUAGUUGUCCGACGUGAUUCAACCUCUCCCUUUAUGCUCUGUGUGUUAAUGCGCUUUACGCAUGACAGCCAUUACACGAAACCAGUACGAGUUCCCCCUCACUCCCCUUCCCCCUCUCCCUCGCACUACCCGCACAGCUGGUGUCGCGAAUCAAGUCCCACGGGGGUAGUCGAGUGAUGGUGCGACUGGAGGGGGCCGACGUGCAGAUCAGCUUCAGUAGCACGGGAGCAGCCGGGGCGGCGUUGACAGCGGGGGAUGGCGCUGCUAAGUGACGAGGAGGCAGACGACGGGUGGAUUGGGCUUUGAGCAUGUCAUGGUAGAUUUUGGAUGUAUUCGCAGCUGGAAAUAUUCUUGGCAUCACCCAAGGGUUGGUCCGUUGUGUAGGGACUGCAACACAACGGAUUGAGGCCGUCCCCACUCCCGGGGAUGCGGUGGAGCAGCGGAUGGUGGGGGGGAGGUAGAUUGAUAUGCAUAGACGAGGGACGAUGAUGUGCUGAACAGCAGACGUGGGAACGCAUUAGCGGACGCCUCCGCUGUUUCUUUCCGUUGCAACUCGUUGCUCGCGAGGGGGAGGAUCUGCGGCCUGUGCUCACCGAUUGCGAUUGCGUUGCUACCAUUGGCUUGGUUGCUGGGUCUGCUGAGGAUAAGACACCUUGUUCGACGGAUUGGUCGGCAAGGAGGACGUAUCUUUGUUAUUCGGUAGCUAAAGCUGUUGAUUGCUUUUAUUGGUUGCUGUAAGUUCAAAUAAUUUGUAUUGACUGCCUGAUAUUGGUCGUUGGUUUUAUUGUGCCGUCCAUUCAUUCUUGGAAAGCAGUGUCAGAGGCGUGUUCGUAUGGCCAGGAUGGUGUGCCGUCUGAGAUUGUGUGUUUAUCCUGCGGACCGCUGUGGCGCUCAUUGCUGAUGAAGGCGAGGCUGUGUGUGGAGCGUUGCCUUUUGCCACACAUGUAUACUAUGCUAUCGUGCGUUGCAGCGUGUUUGUUGCCGUACCAGCGGCUCGCAUAUACGCCAGGCCGCCUGCUGGAAAGGUGAGCUAUGCUGGCCUACCGAAUUAAGACUAGCAAAGUGAAGUCAACACCUAAGCCUGUCAAACUGAUUGACGUUGUCGCUCUUGUUGAGUUGGAUAUAGGUUGAAUCAACUCGGCCGUCAUUUGCCACAUCUGCAAUAUCGUUUUCGUUUAUGUUAUUGAUGUCGUGAGUGACGUGGCGUGAUAAACACUUUGAGUAUCAGCAAACGUGUGUUGCCGAGUGUGUUUCGGGCGCGGCACAAAUCCUGCCCGGUAGAAUUUUCACUGAGUCACAUGGCUCCAAUUGUAUUUGCUUGCUGACAACCUUGAUCGUUCCUAUGCAAUAUUACAGACACCGAUAAAUGGUUUCAGGUAUGAAGUAGUUAACAGUUAGUAUGCACAACAGUAUUACUGCGGAGUCGACUAUCCACACAUGUAAAGACGUUGCCAAUAAACACCGCUACAUGUCGCUCUCAGACACACAGCAGCAGAUCGACAACUCAGACGUCAGUCGUGUUGAUAUCAGCGCCGCUCAUGCCAGCGCUAAUAUCGGAAGCACAAGCACAUUACGCGAUGGACGCUGCCGCCCGUGUGAACGCCUCAUCCGCAGCCUCAAGUCGUUUGACGUUGGGGUGAUUGGCUGCUACCAUCUUGAGCUGCCUGCAUGGGAUCAAGUCACAGAGCCGGCACACCGAACAACGUAAUUGUUACUCAACUGCUAACAUCAAUCAACCCUCUGCACAUACACAUAUGCUUGCGCUAGUUUCCCCAUCAGUCAUUCCUUCCAAGUGUAAAACCUCUGCCGACCUCGCGCUCCUAGUCCGGGCCGAACAACAAAAUCAGCAUGGGCGGCCCACGCACCGGUAACACGCAGCGGGGCGUUCUUCUACUCCCCUUCCUGAACACACGUUACAAAGCGGCGUUGCCUCACACUGAAGAGAAAGAGGGCCCUCAUAACUCACGUCUGGUAGCGUGCGACGUUCUUGCCUAGGUGCAGCCCAACAGUAAUUAGAUUGGACAGCGUAUCCGGGUCCUUGGAGUCCUUGGAGAACGCCUCCUGUAGAUCGUGAUCCGCAUCCUCCCAGCGCCCCAUCUUCAUAUAGCACACCGCGCGGCCAUUGUACAGGGCGGCCUAAAAUAGAAAGCGCACGCGACGCAACACAGUGAGGGAAGAUGGCGGUUCAGCUUUGGAAGCGAAGAUUCCCGAGACGCCAAUAGGGCGACGGCAUUCCAUGCCCCAAAGGGCUGCUAAGCAGCCACGCAUACACCGCCAUGGCAGGGGCCGAGCACACAGCAGCGUAUGCACCAGCAUGUUUGGCAAGUAACGAGGCGCCACAAGGCCGUGCCUAUGCUUGACUUUAGGUACAGCCCCGUACUUUUAACCCUUAAACAUGGCGCAAGCAGACAUAGGAAUACAUAACUUGACUCGUGAACGGAGACGUCCCUAUUUCGAGCGAAUGGGGCAGCGGGACAAGCCCGCAAAGCAACAAGGCUGAGGCCGUGCCAUUCCGAGGCAACAUCUCGUGCCAGCGCCUUCCCCAGGCUGGCGAGGUUAAGACCAAGGAGGCGUGCCAAGACAUGCGCCCAACUCCUGCCCCCAUACUUGGGGAGGAGAUAGUCUGCCCACCCUCGAUGGACAGACAAAGAUGCACAGGGCUACAGUUUGGGUCGUAAGCCGUGCAAACAGAUAUGCAUCUGUACCGUAUAGUUAUACUUCUCGCCCAGCUCCUGGUAUACGUAAGCAGCCUCCUGGACCUUGGCACCGCCCUGUCGAGGUGGACCGAUGGUACAAUUACAGGGCAAUCAUUACAGAACAACCAGACCCCACAGCAGCGGAUCGCAGACUGGUGGACCUAACCGCAGGAGCUAGCUCAACGCAAAAAUCUACAAUCAGAACCUUAAUCGGCUGCAUAGCUUCACUGGCAGAUGAAGAGUAAAUGGGCAUGGCCAAUAGGCGCCACGGCAUGCUAAGUCAUGUGGUUCGUGAAGCGGGCCCAAGGACAAUAAAAUGACACUUAGAUGCAGCGUGGCUUACACACAAUGAAUCCUGUUGGAGUUGGGAAACGUAUGGGUGAAGGGGGCUUUAUGCUUUUCACAACAUGCUCCCCUGGAAAAUGGAUGGCACAUGGCAGCUGCAGUACUCCCGGGCCCCAACCCCUUGCCGAAUGGCCCAGAGCGACACUCACCAGCGCCUGGCCAACCCACGCGGUAGCCAGCUGCGUCAGGGUUGCAUCAUCGUCGAUACCGGACAUGGUCUGAUAUUAAGGCAAGGGGCAAGACAGCGUUACGAAGGGAGGACUUUGGAGCUGCUCGUCCAGCACACUAACGAUUGUGCCACUCUUGUCGCACCUUGACCUGCAGCUCCGCCUUAUCUGGCCGGUCCAUCUUCAGGUACACCUGGACGCAGAGGGCUUGCCUGCAACAGCGCGAGGAAUGCCAUUUCUAAGACCCCGCAAACGCUUAUCCAAAGCGCCGAAACCGAACAAUUCUCACAGCUCAAGGUUUGUGCUUCCAUGACAGCAUUUGAGCGCCUCCGGGUAAUUCCCCUCCUGCGCGUGGAUCAUUCCCGCUACCAGCAACACGGUCGUGUUCCUGUUGCAAGCUGAAUCUGACAGCCAGUCUUGAAGAGUUGCCAAGACAUCCUCCUGUGUGUAAAUAAUGCAGUGUUCGUUGUUUAACCAGGGCUCCCCACUGAUUAUUGAGCAAGGCUUGCCUUCGACUUGCGCCCCGAUAAGUACUGCGCCAAGAGUUUCACCGCAAGAAGUCCGGUGGCAGCUGAAUCUCGAAUUUCAUUGAUCACCAACUGCAAGCACGAAGCGAAGCCAUGUGCUCUGACACUGUAAGGAAAUUGCCGCAACGUAGCCAAAAGAGUCCUAAGCUAUAAGAUGCUCACAUCGUAGCUGCCCUGCGCGAUGUAGGAACGGUAAACGAAGCAGUCACGCUCAAUCGCCUCAGCUUCUGACAAGUCCAGGUCAGCUGCCUCGUUGAUCACUGUAUUGUAAGCUCCUAGAUAAAAGGCAUUUCGAACAUUGAAUAGGAGAUCCGCCAUCGCUACAGCGGCUUGGCAAUCACCAACUAAACGUUUGCCGUUAAAAGUUUGCCUUCCAAUGCUACUUACGACUUAAUGUGUUAACCAGAAAUAACAACAUACCCAAACAAUAACCGUGUCCCAUGAACCAUGCCUAAGGGAAUUGGCGCAGUACUGUUGCCGUACGUUUAAGGGAUGCACCCGUUCACAGAGAGCCUCAUUCCGCAACGACCCAUCAACUUCACCUUAUAGUAUACACAUGGCCACCCGACGAAACAACUACUUUGUGAGUCAGCACGGCAACUUUUCGUCCUGUAGUAAGGGGCAAGCAGGGGCCAAGCCGAUGCGCGAUCGUACGUGCCACAAGCCUAUGCCAGCUUCGCCAGCCAAAGCCAUCGCCACCAAACGCAGGUCUAAUUUGUCAUUGCCAUCAGAUUGUAGCACACAUGGGUCGAUGUCAACACCGCUUCCUGUGAACGGCAUUCCUUCCUGCAUGGCAUCUUCAUGGCUCUGCCAGGAAGGGCAGUGACGUCCAGAUUGCUGUCAUAUGUUUUUCGUCGACCUGACGCCUUGCCUUAGUAUUGUACCUGCACUGUCCUUCGAGGGAUAAGAAUCGUCCCACGUGGUGAAACCCCACGAAAGCUGUUCCACACUGAUCCUGCAGACCUGCUUGGGAAAAGAACCUACCCCAGCACCCAUUAAGCCUGCUUCCGUCUUGUUUCCAACAGCUCCAAGUACUUCGCAUGGUGCUUAAUGCACGGAUGGUUGCUACAGUUGAUGCUCUCGCUUCACCAUCCUGGUUCGUGGCCGCCCGUCAGCCCUGCCAAACAUUGCAAACCAGGGGAACUCCUGAUACCCUAAGUACAUCGUGAAAAUAAUAAAUUUGGACCACGGUAGAUUUGUAAAGACAGAGUUAACGGUCGUCCG